AUGGUGCACCUGUUUCUUUUGGAUUUUAUUUUUCUUUUUCCCUUUCUUAAAGGAGCGACCCUUGGAUGAACCUCCCACUAAAUUCACCGUCUUCUUAAGAAGUUGGUGAUCAUUCUCAAACGUCUGUAGUAACCCCAACAAUUGGUGAUAAUUCACUACAGGUUUCGUCAUACGAAAAUGAGUGAGAAAAGGUGGUAUGAUCCAGGCAAUGAGUUUAGUAUGGCAUCCUUCCCCAAUUGAUCAUGAAGGGGAAAGCCAAAAGAGCUUAGACGCUCGAUC
rnacentral:lncRNA from 1 species